rnacentral:rRNA from 1 species
GUGCAGCAGGCGCGAAUAUUCGACAAUGGACGAAAGUCUGAUCGAGCGACGCCGCGUGCGGGAAGAAGGCCUUCGGGUCGUAAACCGCUUUGCGUGGGACGAAUUUUGACGGUACCACGAGAAUAAGGGGUUGCUAACUCUGUGCCAGCAGCAGCGGUAAUACAGAGACCCCAAGCAUUAUCCGGAAUUACUGGGCGUAAAGCGCGAGCAGCCGGUCACGUUAGUCUGAUGUAAAACCACAGGGCCUAACCCUGUGCCUGCAUUGGAAACGGCGUGACUUGAGCGAAUAAGAGGAGGGCAGAACGUAUGGUGUAGGGGUGAAAUCCACUGAUAUCAUACGGAAUACCAAAAGCGAAGGCAGCCCUCUAGUGUUCUGCUGACGGUCAAUCGCGGAAGCGUGGGGAUCAAAAAGG